rnacentral:rRNA from 1 species
GACGAACGCUGGCGGCGUGCUUAACACAUGCAAGUCGAACGAAGUGGCGAACGGGUGAGUAACGCGUAAUCAACCUGCACUUCAGAGGAGGACAACAGUUGGAAACGAAUGCUAAUACCGCAUACUGAAGGAGGGGAUGGCGUCGGAUUAGCGAGUUGGAGGGGUAACGGACAACCAAGGCGAGGAUCAGUAGCCGGUCUGAUAGGAUGAACGGCCACAUUGGGCCUGAGACACGGCCCAUACUCCUACUGGAGUCAGCAGUGGGUAAUCUUCCGCAAUUGACGAAAGUCUGACGGAGCAACGCCGCGUGCGUGAUGACGGCCUUUGGGUUGUAAAUCUCUGUUAAUCGGGACGCGUUACCGGAAUAGAAAGCCACGGCUAACUACGUGCCAGCAGCCGCGGUAAUUC